GCACGGCUCAGUGGUAGAGCAUCUGCUUUGCAUGCAGAAGAUCGUAGGUUCAAUCCCUGGGAUUGGGAAACA